rnacentral:rRNA from 1 species
UACGUAGGGCGCAAGCGUUGUCCGGAAUUAUUGGGCGUAAAGAGCUCGUAGGCGGCUUGUCACGUCGGUUGUGAAAGCCCGGGGCUUAACCCCGGGUCUGCAGUCGAUACGGGCAGGCUAGAGUGUGGUAGGGGAGAUCGGAAUUCCUGGUGUAGCGGUGAAAUGCGCAGAUAUCAGGAGGAACACCGGUGGCGAAGGCGGAUCUCUGGGCCAUUACUGACGCUGAAGAGCGAAAGCGUGGGGAGCGAACAGG